rnacentral:rRNA from 1 species
UGGGGAAUAUUGGACAAUGGGCGCAAGCCUGAUCCAGCCAUGCCGCGUGUGUGAAGAAGGCCUUUUGGUUGUAAAGCACUUUAAGCGAGGAGGAGGCUACUUGGAUUAAUACUCUAAGAUAGUGGACGUUACUCGCAGAAUAAGCACCGGCUAACUCUGUGCCAGCAGCCGCGGUAAUACAGAGGGUGCGAGCGUUAAUCGGAUUUACUGGGCGUAAAGCGUGCGUAGGCGGCUUCUUAAGUCGGAUGUGAAAUCCCUGAGCUUAACUUAGGAAUUGCAUUCGAUACUGGGAAGCUAGAGUAUGGGAGAGGAUGGUAGAAUUCCAGGUGUAGCGGUGAAAUGCGUAGAGAUCAGGAGGAAUACCGAUGGCGAAGGCAGCCAUCUGGCCUAAUACUGACGCUGAGGUACGAAAGCAUGGGGAGCAAACAGG